AACAUUUUUAAAUCGUGCCUAGGAAUUAAAUUCCAGAACUGGUCAAAUUUUGGGGGGUCUCUUUUGUUUUUGUGGGGUUUUUUUUUAAAAAAAAGACAUUUCAUUAGGAAACUUUUUUGUUUCCUUUAUUAGUUUAGGUCCAACAAGUAAAUUUUUACUGGUUUCAAAGCUGCUAACCUAUUUCAUUGCAGGAUAUGAUGUUUAAAAUAUAGCAUUAUGUUAUGGUCUCAAAGGUGGUGUUCUGGUGCUAGGGUUAAAGGUGUGUAUGUAUAUAAUUUCCCUUUUUUAUCCGAAACUCCAGUUGAAUGUUGUUCAGUAUGGCACCUAUAACAAAAUUAACUUUGGAUUUGACUUUUUUUUUUUCCUAAAGGAUAAAACGGAUGCAGCUCAUAGUGUUGUGACUCAACACUGAAUUCUUUUCCUCGCUACUUUAAAAUCGUCUCUAAAAAACCAUUGAAAACAGGCUUGAAAAACGUCAGAUUUUUUUAAUUAACAUUCAAAGUACUUAGAAGUUCUUUAGGGCAGUGUUCUUAACUGGUAUGACGAGUGUCGUCCUACCUCCUAAUGUGAAAUCUUCCAUAUAGACAUGAAAUUGCACCUUUUAAUGAAUCCUUUAAAAAAGUCUCUACCAUACUAUAAACAUGCAUUUUCAAUCUGUAAGAAAGUAUAUAUGCAGUAUUUAACCAGAGAAAUACGCUGCCACUAGAGUUUGGAGGUGGAUCUUCAGUUUACAGUGUAUACAUUUAAAAUAUGCAUCCCUUUAAACAAUGCUUUGUGUUAGCAUGCUGCAAAUCAAAUGGCGCUUAAUAUAACAAGCUGGUCUAGGGCUAUUUAAUGAAAAACCUGUUCAUAAAUGUUAUGCAUAUAAUGUGUAUUUUUUACUUUUUUAGUUGCUUCAUGUUUGCACACAGCUGUUCACAUGAUAAAUUGUAACUUCAUGCUAUAUUGUGGCUUUGUGUUUCAGAAAUGUUCAUAUUUUGUUUUUGCACCAGAUGAGAAUCAGUUCCUUGAGAAUAAAUUUUUUUUAUAUUUCUAAACUUCAGAAAGUUAAAUUUGGGAAAUCUCUUAGAAAAAUCCGUGUUUUAUGUGGCUGUAAAAAAUGAUGUACACGCUGUAAAAUAAGAUUGUCACUGUUAUGUGGGAUUAUUAUUUCUAAAUGUGUUACUCAUCGUAACGGGCAUACAAUAAAACGCAUCUCUUGCACUCCAAA
rnacentral:lncRNA from 1 species